AAUUCACCAGAGAUCAGUGGAAGUGGCUCGCCAGCGCCUGGAGGAAUACCAGCGAGCUCUGCAAAUUCGUUACAAUAUGACCGCCACAACGUUGCUGCCUCCAGGCCUCAUUCACCCACCUCUGCACAGUACUCGACCUGUACAUCUUCCAACUUCUCUGCAACUCCCUACAACUCCCGCAGUGCCUGCAUACAACCAUGCCAAACCACAAACCACUGAAGUUCCCACAAGAGAGGCUUCACCUCCGCAUCUUCCUGGCUCCAGUUUGAGGGUUCGCUCUAGAUUGCUGCCGGAUGAAGUGGAAUCUAUUUCGGACAGUUCCAGGAACCAGAGACCAGAUGUCACUCCCUGGCUGACCGAUAACAUAAUGGAGAGAGUAACAAAGCACCUUCCAGAAGGCGUGAGACCCUUCCUGGCCACCAAAGACCCAGUGCCUUACAAACAGUUCACAACACAUCACCCAACAAGCAUCCCACUCCAGCCAACCUCUGAUCCCAUCCAAGUCAUUAGCCCGAGAAUAACAGAUGGUGCACCUCUGGCUCCGGGUCACGCAGCAGUCAGGCCUGGGAUCCUGCCACAGGGCUCUUUGCAGACUGAGUCCCUGAGAUCCAGAGAGGACGACAUGGAGAGGCAGAGACGGGAGCUGCAGGAGGUUCAGCGACGGGAGGUUCAGCGACGGGAGCUGCAGGAGGUUCAGCGACGGGAGGCUGCAGGAGGUUCAGCGACGGGAGCUGCAGGAGGUUCAGCGACGGGAGCUGCAGGAGGUUCAGCGACGGGAGCUGCAGGAGGUUCAGAGACGGGAGCUGCAGGAGGUUCAGCGACGGGAGCUUCAGGAGGUUCAGCGACGGGAGCUUCAGGAGGUUCAGAGACGGGAGCUUCAGGAGGUUAAGAGACGGGUGCUGGAGCAGAGGGAGGCAGUGGUGCUGCAGCAGAGGCAACAAGAAGAGGAGAGAAAGAGACAGGAAGUGGAGAUGGAGCAGAUGAGGCGACAAAAGGAGGCUUUGCAGGCUCUGAUUCAUACUGAUGCACAACCACAGCCAGUUCCAGAGGCUGCCAGUGAAGUGUUGGUUUCAGACAACAUCGGUCAGAGCCGCCUCAAAUUACUUGCGUCCCUGCUGAAAGCUAUUGAGGAGACUAAUGGAGGAACUUUAUCACACCUAGAAGACCCUGAGGAGAACGAUGGCUCCCCUCAACCAGCGUCUAACAGUGGUGAAACAGAUCCGAUCUCUCAGAGCAUUGUUCCUGCUGGACCUUCCCCAUCGUUUGUCCUCCCUUCAGCACUCCUUCAUCCUCCUCGAGCAGGAAAGCCUCCGGUGACCCGUGUCAGGCUGGGCGUCAUGGAGCUGAUGACUGCACAACAUGAGCUCAGUGCUAUUCAAGAGGUGGAGUCGCCAGGCAACACCAGCCAAGUCACAGGCCUGGAUGAUACUAUGAAGGUUCCUUCACAUACUGCGGACUGGGAUCCACAGGAGGAAUCUGAAUCGUCUGUGGCCUCUGAUGCAACUCUGCAGACCCCCUCUUGGUCCAGCAGUGGGCAGCGAACUGUUGAAAGACUAACUGACCACGAGAGACGGCUGAUGGGGGCUGGAACAUCUCCAGAGUCCUCACAGUCUGAUUCAGUCCUGAGGAUAAUGUCACCGCUUUCCUCUGACUCUGGGAGAGGAGCUGACUACUCUGGUCCUGCAAUCACAAGCUACAGAUCCCCCACAGAGUCUGCAUGUAGGCCUCCUGAUUUUGACUGUCUCUCCUCCACCACCAUCUCCACGGGCAGCUACGUCACCACUGAUCCUGAGCAGAAUGUAAACACAGAUAAAUCUCCGGACCUCAGACGUUGUGUGGAACAAGGACAAGGAGCAGAUUGUCUCAGUGUCUCCUCUCCGUCCAGUCAAAGCUCCAGUAUUAAGGACGGCUCUGGCUGUCUGUCGGGUACGGCUGUAGACGAUCUGUUUAACGACAGCAGCAUCCAGCGCAUUAUAGACAAAUACACAAAGGAGCUUAACAUCUCCCUCAGCACCACGGGGAAAACCACAGACAGUGAAGGCUCAUAUGUGGAUGAACCUGACCCUUCAGUUCCUCAGCAGUCUUUGGUUCGAGCCUCGGAGAGGAGAGCGGACAAUGAAAGCUCUACAGCUCGUCACUCUCUUCCCUCAGACCCAGCAGGGACACAGAGGAGAGGCCUGGGAUGGGACAAUACAGUGAAUCCAAUCCUGGAGCACUUCUCAGGUGAGGACCCAUCCCUGGCUGAGGACUCUUUCAGACCCCUGAUUGGCCAGCUGGCAGACCAGUCCUCCUGUUUGGCUGCUGACCAUCGGGACUUGGCCAUGGAGCAGCUGGUUGGUCAACCAUCAGCGCACUCGUCCCUGAUUGGUCAGUUACCAGGUCUGCCGGUUUCAGUGAGCUUGGAUCAAGGUGGAUGGGAUUCCACUCUGAGUCGGAUGAUCGGUCGACUCUCCCAUCAGUCCAGCUCACACUGGCUGAGUGGCGGACACGACUUUUAUGCGGGUCAGCUGGUGGCUCAGAUGGCGUCGGAGCCGUCGACCACGUGGUUGGAGGAAGGUCCAGAGGGGAGCCGGAUGAGACCGCUGGUUGGGGAGCUGGAUGAGUCUGCUGGCCAGCACAGUGGAAGCUCAGGUGAAAGAACCCACGUGAAUCUUGGUGUUUCGACUGAGGCCAGCGUGCCGUCGUACCCAGCGUUGCCUCCUGAAGCCUCGUCACACAGUUCUUCUGUCCCGGGUGUGAAUCCACACGCACAAGACCAGACACUGCAGAGCCAAACCAGUCUAAUGGACCUGGGCCCCGAGAGGACUGAAGUGUUUCCAAGCUCGGACUCAUUCCACCCGUUAGUGGCUGAAGUCACCCACAACGAUACAGCAGACUCCUGCGUGACCUUUCACCUGCCCGUACACGAUGUGCCAAACUCUCCCGAAGGACAGUCGGCCAGCUGGGAACGCAGCGUCUCCACAACUUCUGAAGAGUUUGAAACCCACGACGGUCCUUCUGUUGAGUCUGAACCAUCUCCCGAGCGACUUAGAACAGAGGAGCCGUCCAGCUGCGUGACUGCUUCCCACGCCUUACAUGAAUCUGCCUCCCAGCUCAUCACCUCCCAGUACCACCCCCAUGAGUCUGACGUGGAGAUAACCGCUCAGAGUCUGUCAAAUCUAACCCUGUGUGACGAUGCUUCUACUCCGAGCAUGCCGCAGACACACGUAGGAGAUCCAGUCCCAUUCAGCGACCUUUGUGUUGGAGAACUGGAGUCUGAGCGGGGUUCAAACCUGAGGAGUGCUGUUCCUAUCUCAGAGGAGAUACUGGAAGCUGCUAGUGAGAAGGGGAUCCUGGAGCAGUCGGAUAUAACGCUAGUGAGCCUGACCGACACCACGCUGCAGGACCAAGAGACAACCCUCACUGAUGAAGAGGGAGUUUGGGAAGACCAACAUCCAGAUGUGGUGGUGGAGGAAGGACAGAAAGGCCAAGAGGCAGAGGGGUCAGAAUCCACAUUGUUACAGGAUGAGACUCCACAGGACAAGGACCAAACAGAUCCAGCGAUGCUCCUGGAGUUUCAGUGGGGUCCUAUCAGAGGCUCGCAGGAGGUCGACCAGCAGAAGCGCAGAGCUCUGCUCCAGAGAUCAUCCCGCAGGGUGGAAGAAAUCAAGGCCAAACGGGCUCUUGCCAAGAUGCUACCUGAGAGCCGAGCUCCACCUGAAGCCAGAGAGCAGUCUGAAGCUAAGGGCUCUCAACCUGUCACCUGUAAGGGAAAGACAAAGUCAGAACCUCAACAUGAGAUUAAUACCAAGUCAAAAGGAGGACAGACUCAGCAGCAACAAACUACGGAGAAAUCUGGCUUCAUCAAGCAGAAAAAGGCCCAACUUCCCCCUCCAGUGAGCGAAUCCAGGCAGAAACGAGUGGACGAGAUGAAGAUCUGCACACCGGAGCAAAGGAAACUAGAUGUUACUGAGAUGCACCAGAGAACUCAGAGGCUGUACGAGCGGCUGGAGGAGGUGAAGCAUCAGAAGGCAAUCAGGAGCAGACAGGAGGCUUAUGCAAAAAACAGACUGAAGGCAAAGGAGUUCCACGUGGUAAAACAAUUAUUAAUGUUUAAGAUAACAUAAUAAUAUAUAUAAUUAUAAUAAAGAUGAUAUGCUUAUUAGAGAACUGCAGUUUAAACUAUGUUAACUUUGUCUGAACUGAGAUUUGAGGAUAUUUUUCUACCUUCUCUUCACAGAAAACGUUACAGAAACUUCGUGCCAAACAGACUCCGCAGUGACUUUGAAUGUGUUCUUCUACUUUUGUAAAAAAUGAAGUUAUUUCGUAGUUUAAUCAAUAAAGCAUUUUAAGUUAUUUGAAUCUAUUUUUUGCACUCCAUUUUGUUAAAUAUUAGCACUUCUGUUACAACAUUAUUAUAUAACAUUAACACAGACUUUCAGAUGAGUUUAUUUAAUAAGAAAACAUUCAUUAAGUCAUUUAAAGAUAUACAUAACCUUUUUUUUUUGUUUACAGAAAUGAGCUGUGAAAGUGAGGUCAGUUCAGAAUUAACUCAUCCAUUAUUAUAUAUCACAGUUUAAGAGGUCAACCUGAACUACGUUAUGAUUCUGGCUCCACACAUGGUUGAUUUAUUGUUCCAAAGUUAUCAAAAUGCUGUUUCAGAGGCCAAACAACGACAAUAAUACAGAUGGUGUUACGAUGUAGUUCCCGUUCCCACAGAAAGGCCACAAUGGAGAAAUAACAUGGCAUUUAUAUUUAUAGUUUUCAUUACACCAGAUAUUAAAGAGACGUUUCCCCUCAGUAUUAAUACUUCCAGCACAAAACAUAGUGACACACUUCAACUCAUUCACACAUUACUGAGACUCAGACAAUAUAAACAUCUAUAAUCAAAACAUAUUGAUUACUAUUAGACAAUCAGAGGGGGGGUGCACCGGUCCUGGAAGUACUGCAAUACCAGGUCGAUGCGUGGAGUGGACGGAGCAAGCCCCUAUUCCAUCUCCCAGUUCCAAAAAUCAAUUUAAUAUAUGGUCCCCGGGUAGGGGACGUAUCAGAUAUUAAACUGAUAAGAACAGAUACUACACUUGAUCUUAGCCAAAAGGCCGAGAAGCGAUACUGAACUACAGUCGGAGGUACGGAGCUCUUUCUCCGCACCGGGACCCUCACUGACGGUGUUAAUGAAUGCUUCACUAACAGAUAGAUAUAUGAUUCACUGUGUGUUAGAUAGAGAUAUUAAUAUAGAUAUAGAACACACAGUCAA
rnacentral:lncRNA from 15 species